GAUGAACGCUGUCUACAGGCUUAACACAUGCAAGUCGAGGGGAAACGACGGGGAAGCUUGCUUCCCCGGGCGUCGACCGGCGCACGGGUGAGUAACGCGUAUCCAACCUGCCUCUGACUGAGGGAUAACCCGUCGAAAGUCGGCCUAAUACCUCAUGGCAUCGUCUGCGGGCAUCCAACGACGAUUAAAGAUUUCAUCGGUCAGGGAUGGGGAUGCGUCUGAUUAGCUUGUUGGCGGGGUAACGGCCCACCAAGGCUACGAUCAGUAGGGGUUCUGAGAGGAAGCUCCCCCACAUUGGAACUGAGACACGGUCCAAACUCCUACGGGAGGCAGCAGUGAGGAAUAUUGGUCAAUGGGCGGGAGCCUGAACCAGCCAAGUAGCGUGCAGGAUGACGGCCCUAUGGGUUGUAAACUGCUUUUAGGCGGGGAUAAAGUGAGGGACGUGUCCUUCAUUGCAGGUACCGCAUGAAUAAGGACCGGCUAAUUCCGUG
rnacentral:rRNA from 1 species